CCUACGGGUGGCUGCAGUGGGGAAUAUUGGACAAUGGGGGGAACCCUGAUCCAGCCAUGCCGCGUGUGUGAAGAAGGCCCUCGGGUUGUAAAGCACUUUCAGUGAGGAAGAACGCCUGAUGGUUAAUACCCAUCAGGAAAGACAUCACUCACAGAAGAAGCACCGGCUAACUCCGUGCCAGCAGCCGCGGUAAUACGGAGGGUGCGAGCGUUAAUCGGAAUUACUGGGCGUAAAGCGCGCGUAGGUGGCUUGAUAAGCCGGUUGUGAAAGCCCCGGGCUCAACCUGGGAACGGCAUCCGGAACUGUCAAGCUAGAGUGCAGGAGAGGAAGGUAGAAUUCCCGGUGUAGCGGUGAAAUGCGUAGAGAUCGGGAGGAAUACCAGUGGCGAAGGCGGCCUUCUGGACUGACACUGACACUGAGGUGCGAAAGCGUGGGUAGCAAACAGGAUUAGAUACCCGUGUAGUC
rnacentral:rRNA from 1 species